rfam:Hebeloma cylindrosporum h7 unplaced genomic scaffold scaffold_62, whole genome shotgun sequence.
GUUCUCUUAAUUCAAUGGUUAGAAUCACAUUCUUCUAAAAUGUUUAUUCUGGUUCGAGUCCGGAAGAGAACU